GUCCACGCUGUAAACGAUGGGUACUAGGUGUCGUGGGUAUUGACCCCUACGGUGCCGUAGCUAACGCAUUAAGUACCCCGCCUGGGGACUACGGUCGCAAGAUUAAAACUCAAAGGAAUUGACGGGGCCGCACAAGCGGUGGAGCAUGUGGUUUAAUUCGACGCAAACGCGAAGAACCUUACCUGGGUUAGACAACGCGGAACGCCUCAGAGAUGAGGUUUUUCCUUCGGGAACUGCCGGUUCAGGUGCUGCAUGGCUGUCGU
rnacentral:rRNA from 1 species